CUGCAUCUUUGACAGCCUGGGCUCUCUUCAUUGUGGGAGAUUCUGGGUUUUAUUAGUUCAGAUGCAACAUUAACUGUCCCUGCGCUUUCUGGACACCUGUCAGGUGGUGUCUUGGAUUGAAUAGGGGAAGAUAAUA